rnacentral:rRNA from 1 species
CUAUCAGGUAGUUGGUAAGGUAAUGGCUUACCAAGGCUAUGACGGCUACCGGCUCUUAGCGGAGAGUCCGGCACAAUGGGACUGAGACACGGCCCAUACUUCUACGGAAGGCAGCAGUUAGGAAUUUUGCGCAAUGGACGAAAGUCUGACGCAGCGACAUCGCGUGUAGGAUGAAGGCCCUCGGGUCGUAAACUACUUUUUGGGAGUCAUGAAGGCACCCAGAAUAAGGAACUACUAACUACGUGCCAGCAGUCGCGGUAAUACGUAGGUUCCAAGCGUUACCCGGUUUUAUUGGGCGUAAAGCGUCUGUAGGUGGUUUUUUAAGUCUUGUUUCAAAGUCCAUGACUCAAUCAGGGGAAGGGGCAGGAUACUGGAAGACUAGAGUUAUAUCGGGGUUACUGGAAUUUGUGGUGUAGGGGUAAAAUCCGUGGAUACCACAAAGAACACCAAGCGCGAAGGCGGGUAACCAGGUAUAUACUGACACUCAGAGACGAAGGCUAGGGUAGCCAAUCAGAUUAGAGACCUGAGUAGUCCUAGCCGUAAACAUUGUCUGUUAAUUUUCCUCAAUUUAUUGGGGGAGAUGUUAGCUAACGCGUUAAACAGACCGCCUGGGGAGUAUAGCCGCAAGGCCGAAACUCAAACGAAUUGGCGGGGAGGCGCACAACCAGUGGAGCAUGUGGUUUAAUUCGACACGAAGCGAUAAACCUUACCCGGGUUUGAAAUGUACCUGCAAGCCCCCAGAAACGGGGGAAUCUUUCGAAGGUGGUACACAGCUGUUGCAUGGCUGUCGUCAGCUCGUGACGUGAGUUGUUCUCUUAAGUGAGGUAACGAGCGCAACCCCUAUCGUAUGUUGCUGUGUCAUACGAGACUGCCCAGCAUUAUUUUGUUGGGAGGAAGGAGGGGACGACGUCAAGUCAUCAUGAUGCUUAUAUCCGGGGCUACACACAUCCUACAAUGGGUUGUACAGAGGGUUGCAAGACCGCAAGGUGGAGCUAAUCCCUAAAACACCCCUCAGUUGGGAUUGCAGGCUGAAAUUCGCCUGCAUGAACUUGGAAUUGGUAGUAAUCGCAAAUCAGCAGAUUGCGGUGAAUACGUUCUCGCCUCUUGAACACACUGCCCGU